UGUUACGUAGUCGAGUUGGUAGAGCGUUUGACUUAUACUCAGAAUGUCAAGAGUUCGAAUCCGGCUUUUGUCAU